rnacentral:rRNA from 1 species
GUGGGGAAUCUUAGACAAUGGGCGCAAGCCUGAUCUAGCCAUGCCGCGUGAGCGAUGAAGGCCUUAGGGUUGUAAAGCUCUUUCAGGGGGGAAGAUAAUGACGGUACCCCCAGAAGAAGCCCCGGCUAACUCCGUGCCAGCAGCCGCGGUAAUACGGAGGGGGCUAGCGUUGUUCGGAAUUACUGGGCGUAAAGCGCACGUAGGCGGACCAGAAAGUCAGGGGUGAAAUCCCGGGGCUCAAACCCGGAACUGCCUUUGAAACUCCUGGUCUUGAGGUCGAGAGAGGUGAGUGGAAUUCCGAGUGUAGAGGUGAAAGUCGUAGAUAUUCGGAGGAACACCAGUGGCGAAGGCGGCUCACUGGCUCGAUACUGACGCUGAGGUGCGAAAGCGUGGGGAGCAAACAGGAUUAGAUACCCCAGUAGUCC